GUUAUACAAUAGGGUGGAGCGAUUUUAUUUUUUUUGAAUUUUUGCUUCGGCAUACCUGUAUAAAGUUGCUAUUUUAGGUCAUUACUAAAUACGAGAAAGCUCAGUUUGUUUACGUCAAGUUUAGAGGUGCCCCCAUCAUCGUAAAGUUUUGAAAAUUUGCGCAAAUUCCAUAAAAUCGCAAACAUUGUAUAAACUCGGAAUUAUAUUCUUAGCGAUGCUUUAUUAGUGUAAACUAAACAAGAUUGAACUGGAAACGUGUUUGUUCUGAUCGGUAGGUUCCCUCUCAUCAAAGAAAUGGCAUUAGCCAACUCGCGCGCGUACACGAGCUCACUUGUUUGUCGUGCACUUAGGUACUUGACACAUCGAAUCUGACGGCUGGGAACAAAUACAUAUAUUAAAUAUGUUGCAAGUUAAAACACGACAAAUGUCAAGCUGUCCUGCCUCUGGUUUGCCAGAAAAGUUGCCUGUUUCCCAGUUACCAACUUACAACGACAUUAUGAAAUAUUAUUUAUUUAUCAAAAAUGAAUUGAAGCCUGAUAUAGCAACAAAAGAGCCAACAGUUCAUGAAAUAUCUGAAAGGCUGGCUCAAGAAGUUUUAUAAAUAUGGCAAAAAUCGUCGCUGCCAACUGUAAGUUUCAAAAGAAUCCUACAAUUGAUUCGCGUUUAUCAUGACAAAUACAGAUGCUUAAUGAAACCAUAUCGAGGCCGUCAAACGGACAUUAAAUACCAAGAAAAAAAUAAUAAAU